rnacentral:rRNA from 1 species
UACGUAGGGUGCGAGCGUUAAUCGGAAUUACUGGGCGUAAAGGGUGCGCAGGCGGUUGAGUAAGACAGAUGUGAAAUCCCCGAGCUUAACUCGGGAAUGGCAUAUGUGACUGCUCGACUAGAGUGUGUCAGAGGGAGGUGGAAUUCCACGUGUAGCAGUGAAAUGCGUAGAUAUGUGGAAGAACACCGAUGGCGAAGGCAGCCUCCUGGGACAUAACUGACGCUCAGGCACGAAAGCGUGGGGAGCAA